UGCCGAGUAGCUCAACAGGCAUAGAGCUGAUCAACACUGAUCGAAUUACAUGGUUGGAAAUGCCAACAGAUGGAGGUUCGAUACCUCCCUCGGCGU
rnacentral:tRNA from 4 species